rnacentral:rRNA from 1 species
UACGUAGGGGGCAAGCGUUGUCCGGAUUUAUUGGGCGUAAAGAGCGUGUAGGCGGCUGGGUAGGUCCGUUGUGAAAACUCGAGGCUCAACCUCGAGACGCCGAUGGAAACCCUCCAGCUAGAGUCCGGAAGAGGAGAGUGGAAUUCCUGGUGUAGCGGUGAAAUGCGCAGAUAUCAGGAAGAACACCAGUGGCGAAGGCGGCUCACUGGCCCGAUACUGACGCUGAGGCACGAAAGCGUGGGGAGCAAACAGG